AGCGCGGCGGCAGCGGCGCUCCUGCAGCGCUGCCCGGAGCGCACCCCGCGGCCCCGCGGCCGCGCUCUGGGGCUGCUGUGUCGGAAACACCGCCGCGGUGCCACGCCAAAUCCGUACAGCGAGGACAGAAACGCUGCCUCGACGUUACGCACGUGGAGCAGUUUUACAGACUGAUACCAAACGCCGCUUCUACUGCAGAAGUGCUGUGUCACAAAAAGCAUCGCAAGGCACGGUCAGCGUGCAGGCAGGGUCGGCGAGCGCUCUGUGAGGACGCUAAACUCGACACAAUGAUAUGAAAAAGGUGGAAAACUGACCCAAGCCAUGCCCCAGAAAAGGAGCCUGACAGUGACACUUGGUGCUGUGGUCUCCGCCCUCACGUAGAACCUGCAAAGCCUUCACUCCUUCUUUUUGGCCAUCCUCCAGGGCAACACGGAACCACGAGUUCCCCGACACACGGGAGCCUAAAACCCACACUCAGAGCUCUGCAGCUGAGCCACCUCUCCGCAGCAGCACCAGCACAUUUUGCCGAGGAAUGAAGAUGGGAAACUGCAGACGUUUCUCAGCUGUACUGCUGCAGUGUCAUCCCGCGUUGCAGUAUUGGUGGAGCAGUGUUGGGGAGGACCCUGGGACGGUUCCAGGGAGCAGAGGGGUGCAGGUGGCUGCUGGUGCCGCUGAGGGGUCUGCCCGCCUCCGUCCUCACUGCUUUCCCACCUGCAGUCGGCCUCGUCUCGCCAUGGAGCUCUUUUGGGAGGGAUUUCAUUCAGGCUGUGAGUUCUACAAGUUGGAAAUGCACGGUGUUAAGUGGAUGAGGAAGAGAGAAACCGCUCCUCCUUGGAUCCCAUCCUCCCUUCUCCUUCUUUUCAGGGAGUCUUUGUUGCCAUACUUCUUCGUAAAGGAGUUUUAUGAAAGCAGUCAAAUAUUAGGUUAGAUCAGAUUUUUCCCCAAUGAAAUUACUGGGAAAGUGGCCACUGGUGUGGGCCAGUUCCUCCUCAUUGUGUACAGCAGCGCUGCCAAGGAGCAGACAGGGAAAGUAACCUGUAAGUCACUGCAAAUAUUUCUGAAUUUGCUUUCAAGCCACCUUGUUUAAACACAAAGACACAAAAACAACAACAGGUUAAAAGAACUGCUUUGAAGAGAAAGAAAAAAUUCUGAAGUUACUUCCUGGCGUCCUGUAUUUCUGCUUUCAUAACAAAUUCAGUUUUACGCAGUUGGGACUUGAAAACAAUUUUUUUAACUAUCAGUCUCAGAGUCUAAAAAUAAAGCCUACGAAGCCCAUGUCCUGCCUGCUCAUGGCAGCUGUGUGCUUCAGGUUCUACAAUCAAAACCACGGAGCCCUGACCCUCCCGUGCUGCACUGCAGUGGUGGGGCUGCAGGAAGAGCGGGCGGAUUGCGCGGAUUGCUCUGGGCUGUGCCUGCACAAGGCCAGGUGUCUGCAUGGAGCACUGCGCUGCUGGCGAGGCCGUACGAGCUCGAGGAAAGCAGAAGUGACAGAAGUCACUCACGGCCCAAGAAUUUCUCAGUGGAAUGGCUGAUAGCAGGAUGGGGAGAGCUGCCAGUAACAGCUCUGCCAGAAGCCUCUGGGUCAGAGGGAAAAGAGAUUUGGAUCCCCAUCAAAUUGGUUUAGUUUGGGGUUUGCUGAAAACAGCAAUAAAUGAAACCCAGAGGUAAAGGGCCUGAUCCAGAGUCGGUGCAUGAUGCCAGCCCUGCCUGGGAUAGGGACAGAGGCCAGCAGCUCAGGCAGGCCCGAGCUGGUCACUCUACUGGCAAUGGUGCAUGGAGCAGAGGAGGAAACAACUCCCUUUGCCUCAGCUUUAUUGGUUCUGGAGUGCUGACAGUAGUAAAAAUGUGUUUUUUCAGUAGACAAAGCAAAUACAACUUUCAAGGCACACAGGAAGCCAAUGUGGGCUUGCUGGAGAUGCUACUCCUGCAGGGUCACAGCACUGAUGAGGAGAGAAGAGGCAUGCAGCUGCCCUGCUGGGGCUCUGGAGGCACAGCUCUGAAAACACAUUAUGUCAAGGAUCUGAUCGCAGCCCACAAGGAUUCACAGAAAGAAUUCCAGAGCGAUUUGCUUCCCGUUAAAUCUGCCCAGAGAAACUGACCGUGUUUGCUGAGCCCCAGGGCUCAGGGGCUUCGUGCUGAACGCAGUGCAGGCGCUGAGCCACUGUGGGCUCGAAGUGAGUCUGCACCUCUACAGCAGAGUGAAUCUCACAGAAAGGAAUAAACCACCCAAAGCUGGUAGAGGAGAAACCAUGCCAGAACACCACAGACAACUGAGUGACAGAGAUUCAACGAAGCGAGAAAUACAGCAACCCCCCAAUGGAGACCUGCAUGUGUGAGUGAUUCAUUGAUGCCAGCUACCAAACAACCCCGACACAUAACAUUUCCCACCUCUGAUAUUUAGAAAGCCCCUCUCACCCUUUUAGCACCAAUGGAGCCCUCGAAAUGUUUUAUUGCUAAUUGUCUAAUGCUCCGUGAUGAAUGGCUGCUUGACUGAAAAUGACAACCCCUUUUCUCUCAACUACUUCAUUUUCCUGGCUCCAGUGGGGGUGAAGAGGAAAAAAUAAAUCCGAUUACAUCAUAUUUAGCCUCUUGGUUAUGAAUGAAGAUUAAACUUAAUUUAAAAGUACUUCUGUCAACGAUGCCCUGAGCCCCCGCUCCCUUACGCUCAGUAAGUGCUGCCUCAGAUGCGGGGGCAAAAUGUUCCAAAGGCAGCGCCUGGUCAGGGCAGCGGAUCACUGAGAUAUCGGGGGAAGCGGCCCGGCCAAAUCUAGAUGGCUGCAUUUGUGAUCACAAGGAAUAUUUUGGCUACUGAGUAAUCAAAGAGCACACUUGAACCCUACACAAAACAACUUCUGACUACAGCCCUGCCUCCAGAAUAAAGGCAACAGGGGAAGGCCCCUCCAACUGGGAAUCGCUGCACUAUUAGCCAUUCUUUGAGUCUGCUCUGGUUGGAAGAUCUGCAAGGAUGAAGGAGAUUUAAUAACUUGAAAAAGAAUAAACCGUGUGUCUU
rnacentral:lncRNA from 1 species